UACGUAGGUGGCAAGCGUUGUCCGGAUUUACUGGGCGUAAAGGGCGUGCAGGCGGCCUGUUAAGUCUAGGGUGAAAGCUCCCGGCUCAACUGGGAGAGGUCCUUGGAUACUGGCGGGCUUGAGGGAGGCAGAGGAAAGUGGAAUUCCCGGUGUAGUGGUGAUAUGCGUAGAUAUCGGGAGGGACACCAGUGGCGAAGGCGGCUUUCUGGGCCUUACCUGACGCUGAGGCUCGAAAGCGUGGGGAGCGAACAGG
rnacentral:rRNA from 1 species